rnacentral:rRNA from 1 species
AUACAGAGGGUGCGAGCGUUAAUCGGAAUUACUGGGCGUAAAGCGCGCGUAGGCGGCUUAUUAAGUCAGAUGUGAAAUCCCCGGGCCCAACCUGGGAACUGCAUCUGAUACUGGUAAGCUAGAGUUUUGGAGAGGGAAGUAGAAUUUCAGGUGUAGCGGUGAAAUGCAUAGAGAUCUGAAGGAAUACCAGUGGCGAAGGCGACUUCCUGGCCAAAAACUGACGCUGAGGUGCGAAAGCGUGGGUAGCAAACGGGAUUAGAAACCCUAGUAGUCC